UACGGGGGGAGCAAGCGUUGUUCGGAUUUACUGGGCGUAAAGGGCGCGUAGGCGGCGUAACAAGUCAAUUGUGAAAUCUCCGGGCUUAACUCGGAAAGGUCAGCCGAUACUGCGGGGCUAGAGUGCAGAAGGGGCAACUGGAAUUCUCGGUGUAGCGGUGAAAUGCGUAGAUAUCGAGAGGAACACCUGCGGCGAAGGCGGCGCUCUGGACCGAUACUGACGCUGAGGAGCGAAAGCGUGGGGGAGCAAGCAGG
rnacentral:rRNA from 1 species